UAGGGGCUGGAAAGGUGACUCAGUGGUUAAGAGCACUGACUGCUCUUCCAGAGGUCCUGAG
rnacentral:ncRNA from 2 species